AUACGGAGGGUGCAAGCGUUAAUCGGAAUUACUGGGCGUAAAGCGCGCGCAGGCGGUCUUUUAAGUUGGAUGUGAAAGUCUACGGCUCAACCGUAGAACUGCAUCCAAAACUAUUAGACUAGAGUGUGGGAGAGGAAGAUGGAAUUAGUUGUGUAGGGGUAAAAUCCGUAGAGAUAACUAGGAAUACCAAAAGCGAAGGCAAUCUUCUGGAACACUACUGACGCUGAGGCGCGAAAGCGUGGGGAGCAAACAGGAUUAGAAACCCUAGUAGUCC
rnacentral:rRNA from 1 species